rnacentral:piRNA from 1 species
CUCACUCCUUAAGUCUCCGUGAUGAGUU